rnacentral:hammerhead_ribozyme from 1 species
AUCCAGCUGACGAGUCGCAAAUCAGAGGAAACGAGCGUCCUGGAU